UGGGGAAUUUUGGACAAUGGGCGCAAGCCUGAUCCAGCCAUGCCGCGUGCGGGAAGAAGGCCUUCGGGUUGUAAACCGCUUUUGUCAGGGAAGAAAUCUUCUGAGUUAAUACCUCGGGAGGAUGACGGUACCUGAAGAAUAAGCACCGGCUAACUACGUGCCAGCAGCCGCGGUAAUACGUAGGGUGCAAGCGUUAAUCGGAAUUACUGGGCGUAAAGCGUGCGCAGGCGGUUUUGUAAGACAGAGGUGAAAUCCCCGGGCUCAACCUGGGAACUGCCUUUGUGACUGCAAGGCUUGAGUGCGGCAGAGGGGGAUGGAAUUCCGCGUGUAGCAGUGAAAUGCGCAGAUAUGCGGAGGAACACCGAUGGCGAAGGCAAUCCCCUGGGCCUGCACUGACGCUCAUGCACGAAAGCGUGGGGAGCAAACAGGAUUAGAUAGCCCUGGUAGUCCACGCCCUAAACGAUGUCAACUGGUUGUUGGGAAGGUUCCUUCUCAGUAACGUAGCUAACGCGUGAAGUUGACCGCCUGGGGAGUACGGCCGCAAGGUUGAAACUCAAAGGAAUUGACGGGGUCAUAGC
rnacentral:rRNA from 1 species